AUCACCUGGCAGGGGAGAUACCGUGAUCAAGAAGGCGGUUCACCCAGGGCGAGGCUCAGCCAUUGCACUUCGGCUGUGCUGACCCCUGCGAAUUCCCCAAAUGUGGGAAUCUCGACUGCAUAGUGGGGC
ensembl:snRNA U1 U1 spliceosomal RNA